GAUGAACGCUGGCGGCGUGCCUAAUACAUGCAAGUCGAGCGGAUAAAUGAGGCUCUCGCCUCUCUGACGUUAGCGGCGGGCGGGUGAGUCCUAGGUGGCUAACUGAUAUAUAAGGCUGGGGUCACUUAAGGGACGCUGAGACCAUAUCGGAUCAUAUAUUGAACCGCAUGGUUCUUUGGUGCUAGACCGUUCUGAUGACCCUUAUUCGUGGUUCCGCGCCGGAUUAGCUAGUUGGUAAGGUAACGGCUUACCAAGGCUACGAUGCGUAGCCGACCUGAGAGGGUGAUCGGCCACACUGGAACUGAGACACGGUCCAGACUCCUACGGGAGGCAGCAGUAGGGAAUCUUCCGCAAUGGGCGAAAGCCUGACGGAGCAACGCCGCGUGAGUGAUGAAGGUCUUCGGAUCGUAAAGCUCUGUUAGUAGGGAAGAACAAAUGUAAAAGUAACUAUGCACGUCUUGACGGUACCUAAACAGAAAGCCACGGCUAACUACGUG
rnacentral:rRNA from 1 species